rnacentral:rRNA from 1 species
GUGAACGCUGGCGGUAGGCCUAACACAUGCACGUCGAACGGCAGCACGGUAAGAGCUUGCUCUUACGGGUGGCGAGUGGCGGACGGGUGAGGAAUACAUCGGAAUCUACUUUUUCGUGGGGGAGAACGUAGGGAAACUUACGCUAAUACCGCAUACGACCUACGGGUGAAAGCAGGGGAUCUUCGGACCUUGCGCGAUUGAAUGAGCCGAUGUCGGAUUAGCUAGUUGGCGGGGUAAAGGCCCACCAAGGCGACGAUCCGUAGCUGGUCUGAGAGGAUGAUCAGCCACACUGGAACUGAGACACGGUCCAGACUCCUACGGGAGGCAGCAGUGGGGAAUAUUGGACAAUGGGCGCAAGCCUGAUCCAGCCAUACCGCGUGGGUGAAGAAGGCCUUCGGGUUGUAAAGCCCUUUUGUUGGGAAAGAAAAGCAGCAGGUUAAUACCCCGCUGUUCUGACGGUACCCAAAGAAUAAGCACCGGCUAACUUCGUG